rnacentral:rRNA from 1 species
CCCUUAGAUGUUCUGGGCGGCCCGCGCACUACACUGGCACUCUCAAUCAGAGCCUAGAUCUAACACUUUGGGGUAUUCUAUGAAGAGGUGUCGUGACUGGGAUUAACCCUUGCAAUUAUUGGUUAUGAACGAGGAAUUCCUUGUAAUCGCGGUUUAUCAGCCCGCGUUGAAUGCGCCCCUGCCCUUUGUACACACCGCCCGUCGCUCCUACCAAUGAAUCGUCCGGUGAAGUUCAUGGAGGGGCGGUUGUUUCAACUGCCGUUGAAGUGAAAUGGACCUCACGAUUUAGAGGAAGGAGAAGUCGUAACA